rnacentral:rRNA from 1 species
AGCAGCCGCGGUAAUUCCAGCUCCAAUAGCGUAUAUUAAAGUUGUUGCAGUUAAAAAGCUCGUAGUUGAAUUUCGGGGUUCUACCGUCGGUCGGGCUACCAAGUCUGUACUGGUGUGUAGAAUUUCUACCUUCUGGGGAACCAUCAUGUUAUUAAUUUGGCGUGGUGGGAAACCAGGACCUUUACCUUGAAAAAAUUAGAGUGUUCAAAGCAGGCUUACGUCUGAAUACAUUAGCAUGGAAUAAUAGAAUAGGACGGUGGUCCUGUUUUGUUGGUUUCUGAAUCACCGUAAUGAUUAAUAGGGAUAGUUGGGGGCAUUAGUAUUCAAUUGUCAGAGGUGAAAUUCUUGGAUUUAUUGAAGACUAACUUCUGCGAAAGCAUUUGCCAAGGAUGUUUUCAUUAAUCAAGAACGAAAGUUAGGGGAUCGAAGACGAUCAGAUACCGUCGUAGUCUUAACCAUAAACUAUGCCGACUAGGGAUCGGACGAUGUUAACCUUUAUUGACUCGUUCGGCGCCUUACG